rnacentral:tRNA from 1 species
GUGUGUGUAGCUCAGUGGUAGAGUGAGUGUAUGCUUGGUGCGCACAAGGUCCUGGGUUCAAUCCCCAGUUCCUCCA